rnacentral:rRNA from 1 species
UACGGAGGGUGCGAGCGUUGUCCGGAAUCACUGGGCGUAAAGGGCGCGUAGGCGGCUCGGUAAGUAGGGGGUGAAAUCCUGCGGCUUAACCGCAGGGCUGCCUUCUAAACUGUCGAGCUUGAGCACGGUAGAGGCAGAUGGAAUUCCCGGUGUAGCGGUGGAAUGCGUAGAGAUCGGGAAGAACAUCAGUGGCGAAGGCGGUCUGCUGGGCCGUUGCUGACGCUGGAGGCGCGACAGCGUGGGGGAGCAAACAGG